rnacentral:rRNA from 1 species
AGAGUUUGAUCCUGGCUCAGGAUGAACGCUAGCGGCAGGCUUAACACAUGCAAGUCGAGGGGCAGCAUGUCCAGCAAUGGAUGAUGGCGACCGGCGGAAGGGUGCGUAACGCGUGAGCAACAUGCCCUAUACAGGGAGAUACACCAGGGAAACUUGGUCUAAUAUCCCAUAGCAUUCAUUGAAGGCAUCUUUAAUGAAUUAAAGCUUCGGUGGUAUAGGAUUGGCUCGCGUGACAUUAGCCAGAUGGUGAGGUAACGGCUCACCAUAGCAAUGAUGUCUAGGGGUUUUGAGAGGAAGGCCCCCCACACUGGGACUGAGACACGGCCCAGACUCCUACGGGAGGCAGCAGUGAGGAAUAUUGGACAAUGGAUGGAAAUCUGAUCCAGCCAUGCCGCGUGCAGGAAGACGGCCUUAUGGGUUGUAAACUGCUUUUAUACGGGAGCAAUAAGGGUUACGAGUAAUCCGAUGAGAGUACUGUAUGAAUAAGGAUCGGCUAACUCCGUGCCAGCAGCCGCGGUAAUACGGAGGAUCCGAGCGUUAUCCGGAUUUAUUGGGUUUAAAGGGUGAGUAGGCGGUAGUAUAAGUCAGCGGUGAAAACUUGCAGCUCAACUGUAAGCUUGCCGUUGAAACUGUAUUACUUGAGUUAAGUUGAGGUAUGCGGAAUGUGGUGUGUAGCGGUGAAAUGCAUAGAUAUACCACAGAACGUCGAUUGCGAAGGCAGCAUACUAAGUUUAUACUGACGCUGAUGCACGAAAGCGUGGGGAUCAAACAGGAUUAGAUACCCUGGUAGUCCACGCCGUAAACUAUGAUUACUCGUUGUUUGCGAUAUACUGUAAGCGACUGCGCGAAAGCAUUAAGUAAUCCACCUGGGGAGUACGUUGGCAACAAUGAAACUCAAAGGAAUUGACGGGGGCCCGCACAAGCGGAGGAACAUGUGGUUUAAUUCGAUGAUACGCGAGGAACCUUACCUGGGCUUAAAUGGGAAGUGACAGUUUUGGAAACAAAAUUUUCUUCGGACACUUUUCAAGGUGCUGCAUGGUUGUCGUCAGCUCGUGCCGUGAGGUGUCGGGUUAAGUCCCAUAACGAGCGCAACCCUCGUCGAUAGUUGCCAGCAUGUAAUGAUGGGGACUCUAUCGAGACUGCCGGUGUAAACCGUGAGGAAGGUGGGGAGGACGUCAAAUCAGCACGGCCCUUACGUCCAGGGCUACACACGUGUUACAAUGGUCGGUACAAUGGGCAGCUACUCAGCGAUGAGAUGCUAAUCUUCAAAACCGAUCUCAGUUCGGAUCGGAGUCUGCAACUCGACUCCGUGAAGCUGGAUUCGCUAGUAAUCGCAUAUCAGCCAUGAUGCGGUGAAUACGUUCCCGGGCCUCGCACACACCGCC